AACGAACGCUGGCGGCAUGCCUAACACAUGCAAGUCGAACGCUUCUCUUCGGAGAGGAGUGGCGCACGGGUGAGUAACGCGUGGGAACCUGCCCCGGAGUGGGGGAUAACCCGGCGAAAGCCGGGCUAAUACCGCAUACGGCCUAUGGGCGAAAGAUUUAUCGCUCUGGGAGGGGCCCGCGUCCGAUUAGCUAGUUGGUGGGGUAACGGCCCACCAAGGCGACGAUCGGUAGCUGGUCUGAGAGGAUGAUCAGCCACACUGGGACUGAGACACGGCCCAGACUCCUACGGGAGGCAGCAGUGGGGAAUAUUGGACAAUGGGGGCAACUCUGAUCCAGCAAUGCCGCGUGAGUGAUGAAGGCCUUGGGUUGUAAAGCUCUUUCGCACGCGACGAUGAUGACGGUAGCGUGAGAAGAAGCCCCGGCUAACUUCGUGCCAGCAGCCGCGGUAA
rnacentral:rRNA from 1 species